AGUGCAGUACCUGUGGUUUAGGCUAAGUGCUGUGGGAACAUAGAGCUAGCAGGAUGAAUUCUGCCUGAUGUGGGAUAUAUCACUUUUUGAAAAGGUGAAAUCCCUACAAGGUGGAUUACUCUCAAUUUACACACGGGGAAAUGGAAGCUACUGAAGUCCACCUAGUUCCCGGAAAGAUGAAGGGCAGCAGCAGGGUUCAAUCAAGGUUCCUACAACUCCUCAACCUGGAAUUUUUUCCAUCAUACCACUCGGUCUUCCUGAAAUACCUAACUGAUUUUCAUAUUACAACAAACAGUGGGACACAUUCCCACACAGAUCACCAUCACCGCCACCACCAAACAACUCUGUAUCUGGAGUUAAAAACAAAUGAAAAGAAAGGAAAUAUGCAUGUGAAAA